rnacentral:rRNA from 1 species
CCUACCUAUAAGACUGGGAUAACUUCGGGAAACCGGAGCUAAUACCGGAUAAUAUUUCGAACCGCAUGGUUCGAUAGUGAAAGAUGGUUUUGCUAUCACUUAUAGAUGGACCCGCGCCGUAUUAGCUAGUUGGUAAGGUAACGGCUUACCAAGGCGACGAUACGUAGCCGACCUGAGAGGGUGAUCGGCCACACUGGAACUGAGACACGGUCCAGACUCCUACGGGAGGCAGCAGUAGGGAAUCUUCCGCAAUGGGCGAAAGCCUGACGGAGCAACGCCGCGUGAGUGAUGAAGGUCUUCGGAUCGUAAAACUCUGUUAUUAGGGAAGAACAUACGUGUAAGUAACUAUGCACGUCUUGACGGUACCUAAUCAGAAAGCCACGGCUAACUACGUGCCAGCAGCCGCGGUAAUACGUAGGUGGCAAGCGUUAUCCGGAAUUAUUGGGCGUAAAGCGCGCGUAGGCGGUUUUUUAAGUCUGAUGUGAAAGCCCACGGCUCAACCGUGGAGGGUCAUUGGAAACUGGAAAACUUG